rnacentral:rRNA from 1 species
GAUGAACGCUGACAGAAUGCUUAACACAUGCAAGUCCACUUGAACUUCGGUUUGGGUGGCGGACGGGUGAGUAACGCGUAAAGAACUUGCCUCACAGAUAGGGACAACAUUUGGAAACGAAUGCUAAUACCUGAUAUUAUGAUUUUAGGGCAUCCUAGGAUUAUGACAGCUAUAUGCGCUGUGAGAGAGCUUUGCGUCCCAUUAGCUAGUUGGAGAGGUAACGGCUCACCAAGGCGAUGAUGGGUAGCCGGCCUGAGAGGGUGAUCGGCCACAAGGGGACUGAGACACGGCCCUUACUCCUACGGGAGGCAGCAGUGGGGAAUAUUGGACAAUGGACCAAGAGUCUGAUCCAGCAAUUCUGUGUGCACGAUGAAGUUUUUCGGAAUGUAAAGUGCUUUCAGUUGGGAAGAAAAAAAUGACGGUACCAACAGAAGAAGUGACGGCUAAAUACGUG